rnacentral:rRNA from 1 species
GUCUACCAGCAUACCACCCUGAAUACGCCUGAUCUUAUCUGAUCUCAGAAGGUAAACAGGGUCAGGCCUGGUUGGUU